GAUGAACGCUAGCGGCAGGCCUAACACAUGCAAGUCGAGGGAGGAGCUUUCGGGCUUCGACCGGCGUACGGGUGCGUAACGCGUAUACAAUCUGCCUUUCACAUAGGGAUAGCCCGAAGAAAUUUGGAUUAAUACCUAAUGGUAUAUAGGAGUGGCAUCACAUUUAUAUUAAAGCUGAGGCGGUGAAAGAUGAGUAUGCGUUCUAUUAGCUAGUUGGAGAGGUAACGGCUCCCCAAGGCGACGAUAGAUAGGGGUUCUGAGAGGGAUAUCCCCCACACUGGUACUGGGAUACGGACCAGACUCCUACGGGAGGCAGCAGUGAGGAAUAUUGGACAAUGGUCGGAAGACUGAUCCAGCCAUGCCGCGUGCAGGAAGGCGGCCUUAUGGGUUGUAAACUGCUUUUGCAGGGGAAGAAUAAGGACUACGAGUAGUUUGAUGACGGUACUCUGCGAAUAAGCAGCGGCUAACUCCGUG
rnacentral:rRNA from 1 species